UUUGUUUUUUUCUUUCUUUUUUUCCUGUCUCUGGAUCAGAUGCAAAAUCUUGUACGCAAUAUGUGAAUUGUUUCAUCGAUCCCUGCGUGUCUGCUGUAUGUCCUGGCCACCCGGAGGCUACUUGCAAGAGCAACUACUGUGGAGGUUGUAAUUUCAACUUUUACCUCAACGAUGUGGAUGUGACGAGCGAGUGUGCUUCUAACUUUUAAAGAGAAGACCCCAGGAGUAGGUCAAGGUCGUGUGUUUGACCCGGUGCAGAAUUAAGUACGUUUACUGAUAACUAUGCUUGGCUUAACCAUGACCUCGACUGUGCAGUGCAGAAGUGUAGCGAAAAAAACGACUUGAAUAAAGUUAUGAGUGCACAUGCUGUU